GACCAUAGGUUAUGGCUUGGAUUAUAACACACUAAUGUUGUCUUUGAGGCCAUCCACUGACGUCCUCACCCAUGGCAUAAGCAAGUUUUUCUGAAGAUUCAAGUGCAAGUGGUUUUUAAAGUGACAUAGCAAAGUGAAAUGGAGGAUUGAAGCAGUUUUCUGGAGAGCCCAGGCUACCACCUGAUUACCUCGUCUGGUUGUUUUCCUGAGUGCAAAGAAUUUUGCCACAGCUAAAGUCAGUAUUUCUCAGCUCCUUAUUGCAGCUAGAUGUGGCCAUGUGAUUAUGUUUUGGCAAUGGGAUAUGAACAAAAAUGAUAUGUGGCACAUUCAAGUCCUGACCUAAAAGGAUUGUUAUGUGAAUAUCCAUUGUGUCUUCUCCCUUUCUGCUGACUGAGAUGUAGUUGUGAUGGCAGGAGCUGGAGGAGCCACUUUGGACUCAGAGAUGGAAAACCUGUGUUGAGGAGUCCUGGACUUUUAUGUAAAAACUUCUUAUUUAAACUCUUGUAUGUCUGAGUCCUUUGAUCAUAGCAUCUUAGGCUGUAUUCCCGUAAGUACAAUAUCUGCUUCAUAAUAAACUGCCUCCAAAUGCAGUGACUUAUAAAACAAUCAUUUAUUAGCUCCUGAUACUGUUGUUUGUCAAUAUGGGCUAUGCUCAUCUGGGCAGUUCUCUGGGUUCACUCACAUGGCUGCAGGUAGCUGGUGGGUGUGCUAAGCGAUAAUUGGUUCUGGAUGGCCUCAUUCAUGUGACUGACAGGGGCAGUGGGAGCAACUGAGUUCCAUGUCUCUAGCAUUUAACAAGUUCAGGCUUUUUCUCAUGGUGGCUGGAUUCCAAAUGUAACCAGAGAUAGCAAACCCCAGUGAGCAAUCACUUUUUACACCCCUGCUUGUAUUAUACUUGGUAAUGCCA
rnacentral:lncRNA from 1 species